rnacentral:misc_RNA from 1 species
AAGUCGUAACAAGGUUUCCGUAGGUGAACCUGCGGAAGGAUCAUUAACGAAUCAACUAGGCGGGCUGCUGCUGGCCCCUUUGGGAGCAUGUGCACGCUCGUCGUUGUUCCUUCCUUCUUUCUCCACCUGUGCAUCUUUGUGGGCCUUUGACACAGUUUCGAGGGUAUUUUUCACUCGGUUUCGAGGAGCUGACGCUGACGCUUUUGCUGGCGACUUUCCUUGCGUCUUUGGCCUGCGCCCCAACACACACACACGCACGCUACAGAAUGUUUCUUUACGGGCCCGCCGUGGCCCCUAAAACCCCUCAUACAACUUUCAACAACGGAUCUCUUGGCUCUC